UAUUUUAGUCUUCAAUAUUUGGGGAUUAAACACUGUAGAGAAGGACAACAAAUAGAAUUUGUAGCGUUCAUAUUUCUUUUUAAUGAUGCUCUACACUGAACUUAUAACAAUACACUUGAAACACAGUUUACACGAAUAUUAUGUAACACAACAUACAGCAUUGUUCCCGUUUUUAGAUCCAAGUCAGCCCUGAAUGGAUGAAAUGUUGAGUUGGCGCCAGGAGCUUUUGAACGUAGAACGCAAAGACGGACGAAAUGCUACUACGCAUUCCAUACAAUGGCUAGAGCUCUGGUGAUGUGGAUUCUUUGAACGUUUUAACGGAUACGUAAAUGGGAAAUGUUUCGUUGAAAGGGAAUCAAUAUUGAUGUAUAAAUAGCUUGUCAAUGGUCUCUUCCCUAGAGAAAAAGAUAGACAGAAAUAACAGGAUGGAAUCUAUUGUUGUGCCUUGAAGUCUGCCCUUGUUUGUGUGUUUCUGUGUCUUUAUGAGUCCCAAUGUAGUGUACGAAUAUGUAACUGGUUUAUUGUGUCCAUUUGGUCCAUUUCUUUUUUGUGGUUCAAUGGAGAAAGGAAUAAGAGAAACGUGUAGACAAUAAAACAAAAUAAGAUUAGUACACAGGAGAAAAAACCGAAUGCGAUAUAAUAUGAAAAUA
rnacentral:lncRNA from 1 species